GAGUUUGAUCCUGGCUCAGGAUGAACGCUAGCGGCAGGCAUAAUACAUGCAAGACGAACGGUAACUUGAGUAGCAAUACUUGAGCUAGAGUGUCGUACGGGUGCGUAACACGUAUGCAACCUACCUUUUACAGGAGUAUAGCUCGGUGAAAACCGAAUUAACCCUCCAUAAUAUGUUCGAGUGGCAUCACUUAAACAUUAAAACUGCGGUGGUAAAAGAUGGGCAUGCGUUUGAUUAGUUAGUUGGCAGUGUAACGGACUACUAAGACGAUGAUCAAUAGGGGACCUGAGAGGGUGAUCCCCCACACUGGCACUGAGAUACGGGCCAGACUCCUACGGGAGGCAGCAGUAGGGAAUAUUGGACAAUGGGUGAGAGCCUGAUCCAGCCAUGCCGCGUGCAGGAAGAAGGCGUUAUGCGUUGUAAACUGCUUUUGCCAGGGGAUAAACGACUCUGCGGAGUUAAUUGAAGGUACCUGGUGAAUAAGCCACGGCUAACUACGUGCCAGCAGCC
rnacentral:rRNA from 1 species